rnacentral:rRNA from 1 species
AGCGAACGCUGGCGGCAGGCCUAACACAUGCAAGUCGAACGAACCUUUCGGGGUUAGUGGCGGACGGGUGGGGACCACGGGGGAACGUGCCUUUGGGUUCGGAAUCACUCAGGGAAACUUGUGCUAAUACCGCAGGUGCCCUUCGGGGGUAAGAUUUCUCGCCUUUUGAUGGGCCCGCGUCUGAUUCGCUGGUUGGUUAGGGUAAUGGCUCACCACGGCGUGGAUCAGUGGCUGGUGUGGGCGGAUGAUCAGCCACAUUUGGAAUGAGACACGGUCCAAAACCCGACGGGAAGGUGCAGUGGGGAAUCUUGCGGAAUGAGCGCAAGCCUGACGCAGCCAUGCCGGGGGAAUGAUGAAUGUCUUAGGAUUGUAAAAUUCUUUCUGCGGGGACGAUAGUGACGGUACCCGGUGAAGAAGCCCCGGCUAACUUCGUG